rnacentral:rRNA from 1 species
AGUGAACGCUGGCGGUAGGCCUAGCACAUGCAAGUCGAACGGCAGCACAGGAGAGCUUGCUCUCUGGGUGGCGAGUGGCGGACGGGUGAGGAAUACAUCGGAAUCUACUCUGUCGUGGGGGAUAACGUAGGGAAACUUACGCUAACACCGCAUACGACCUACGGGUGAAAGCAGGGGAUCCUCGGACCUUGCGCGAUUGAAUGAGCCGAUGUCGGAUUAGCUAGUUGGCGGGGUAAAGGCCCACCAAGGCGACGAUCCGUAGCUGGUCUGAGGGGAUGAUCAGCCACACUGGAACUGAGACACGGUCCAGCCUCCUACGGGAGGCAGCAGUGGGGAAUAUUGGACAAUGGGCGCAAGCCUGAUCCAGCCAUACCGCGUGGGUGAAGAAGGCCUUCGGGUUGUAAAGCCCUUUUGUUGGGAAAGAAAUCCAGCUGGUUAAUACCCGGUUGGGAUGACGGUACCCAAAGAAUAAGCACCGGCUAACUUCGUGCCAGCCGCCGCCGUAA